rnacentral:sRNA from 1 species
UCUUCUUUAUGGUACAUAGAUCUUUCAAUAAACAAAGUUCAUGCAUGAUACUGGAUCAGAAUUCCGGGUUCGAAACCCGACAGCGAAAAUAUCCUUUUGGUGCUUUUUAUACUGUAUCUUGUAUGACAAUUGAAGACACUUUCUCAUAUUGUUCUUUCUUCUCUGCUCAUUGUUAUGGUUUUUAUACUAUAUUAUAUGAUUCUUGAAGAAAAGCGUGCUUGAGUUUUAGAUAUGAGGGGGUCAUAUUUAUGAGAACAAAAAUAGAAAAGAAAACGAAUGGGAGAAAAGAAGCAAAUACUAUCUUCAAUAAAACCUUCACUUAAAACAUAUAUACCGUAUAAAUUCAAAAUUCUAACAAAGAUCCGAUGUAGCACAUUGUCUAAAGUAAACAUUCU